UACGUAGGGUGCAAGCGUUGUCCGGAAUUAUUGGGCGUAAAGAGCUCGUAGGCGGUUUGUCGCGUCUGCUGUGAAAACUCAGGGCUUAACCCUGAGCCUGCAGUGGGUACGGGCAGACUAGAGUGUGGUAGGGGAGAUCGGAAUUCCUGGUGUAGCGGUGGAAUGCGCAGAUAUCGGGAAGAACACCCGUGGCGAAGGCGGCGUCUCUGGGACG
rnacentral:rRNA from 1 species